rnacentral:rRNA from 1 species
GCGGACGGGUGAGUAAUGCCUAGCGAAUCUGCCUGGUAGUGGGGGAUAACGUUCGGAAACGGACGCUAAUACCGCAUACGUCCUACGGGAGAAAGCAGGGGACCUUCGGGCCUUGCGCUAUCAGAUGAGCCUAGGUCGGAUUAGCUAGUUGGUGGGGUAAUGGCUCACCAAGGCGACGAUCCGUAACUGGUCUGAGAGGAUGAUCAGUCACACUGGAACUGAGACACGGUCCAGACUCCUACGGGAGGCAGCAGUGGGGAAUAUUGGACAAUGGGCGAAAGCCUGAUCCAGCCAUGCCGCGUGUGUGAAGAAGGUCUUCGGAUUGUAAAGCACUUUAAGUUGGGAGGAAGGGUUGUAGAUUAAUACUCUGCAAUUUUGACGUUACCGACAGAAUAAGCACCGGCUAACUCUGUGCCAGCAGCCGCGGUAAUACAGAGGGUGCAAGCGUUAAUCGGAAUUACUGGGCGUAAAGCGCGCGUAGGUGGUUAGUUAAGUUGGAUGUGAAAUCCCCGGGCUCAACCUGGGAACUGCAUUCAAAACUGACUGACUAGAGUAUGGUAGAGGGUGGUGGAAUUUCCUGUGUAGCGGUGAAAUGCGUAGAUAUAGGAAGGAACACCAGUGGCGAAGGCGACCACCUGGACUGAUACUGACACUGAGGUGCGAAAGCGUGGGGAGCAAACAGGAUUAGAUACCCUGG